CAGAAUCAACGCCUGGAUCCCCAAUUCCCCUUCCCCGUGCGCCGUAAGCGAGACAUACAGCUGGGCGUGCGCCAUCCCCUCCAUCAACCCCACCAUCGUCGACGCGAUCGCAAUCUGGUUCCCGAGUUUGGCACUCUGCCCCUUGCCCUGCUCAGCCCUUGUACCUCGCCGUUCCCAUGCACCCCGAACUGCGGCCCCAGCUGCUCCGUCCAUCUACCAGCGAUCUCGGCUGCGAGGGUGAGGUCGCUGGUGGUCAUGUAGACGAGGAUGGAGCCCGGGGCCAGGCCGGAGAGAGCUCCUUCGGAGGGAUCGAGGGUGACUCGGCGGACGUCGGAACGGUAGCCGACGAUGAGGAAUACGACAUUGCUGGCGCGCGCUACGGCAGCGGAGGAGCCGGCCAGUUUGGCACCCCGAUCGAGUCCGUGAUGCCGGUCCCGAUCCAGUCUAUCCAGGUCGUGAUCGGGUAUAUGGUCGAUCUGUCGAGAGAGCAGCGGCCAUGGCGGAGCACCGACAGCGGAUCACGGAGUGAGGGCGGUGGAGAUGGCGGAGGAACGCCGGGAAGCGAGCGGGCAUCGGGAGUAUGAUCAGUGGCACAUCGGAUAUAUAGCUGGGUGUGUUCAAGAUGGUGAAGUUCACUGUGGAAAAGCUCCGGAAUAUGAUGGACAAGAAGCAUGACAUCCGCAACAUGUCUGUCAUUGCUCAUGUUGAUCAUGAAGACGAUGAGUAAUGAGAGAUGACAGAUGUUUCUUGGAGCUCCAGGUUGAAGGUGAGGAAGCGUAUCAGACAUUUCGACGUGUCGUUGAGACUGCAGAUGUGGUCAUGGCUACCUACGAAGAUCCCCUUCUUGGUGAUGUUCAAGUCCAUCCUGAGCACCGGACUGUUUUCUCUGCCGGAUUGCAUGGCUGGACUUUGCCAAGAAGUAUGCAGCCAAAUUUGGAGUCGAUGAGUUGAAGAAUGAGUUGAAGAACACGGAUUCUCCUACCUGUAAGCGUUGUCCAACUUUGCUAUGAACCAACCGGACAAAUUAUCGAUCUUUGCAUGACGGAUCAGAAAGAGAGGUGGUGGGUGACAUAUGCUGCAGAAACUUGGUGUCACCAUGAAAGCAGAGGAGAGACAACUGACGGGUAAAGCUUUCACGAAGAGGGUCAUGCAAGCUUGGCUGCCGGCAAGCGAUGCCCUUAUUGAGAUGAUAUCUUCCACCUUCCUUCUCCUGCCAAGGCACAAAAGUAUCGUGCGGAGAACGUGUACGAAGGUCCACUCGAUGAUGUGUAUACAAAUGCAAUCAGAAACUGUGAUCAGGACGGCCCUCUUAUGCCGUAUGUAUCGAAGAUGAUUCCAGCUUCGGACAAGGGCGGAUUCUUCGCUUUCAGACAAGUCUUUUCCCGGAAGGCUUCAACAGGAAGCAGAGUUCGAAUCAUGGGACCAAACUACGUUCCCGGGCAAAAGAAAGACCUGUACGUGAAGAGCGUCCAAAGAAGAGACAUAUAUGGAUGGGAAAGAAACAAGAGGCAGUCAAGGACGUGCCUGCCUUGUGGGAAUACAGUGGACAUGCUUGGAUUGGAUCAGUUCAUCACCAAGAAUGCGAACGAGCAGGAAGCCGAUGCUUUUCCGAUCAGGGCGAUGAAGUUCUCUGUAUCCCCUGGCGUACGUGUUGCCGUGCAUGUAAAAUUCUAAUCCAGUGAUAUUUUUAUGACACAUCUUCUAACCUCUUUUUUCUUUAUGUAUUUUUUUAUCAUGUUCAAUACAAGAUCGGUUCUUGUAUCAUUUAUCGGGACGUCUAAUACCAUAUCUAUUCCG